GACGUAGGGGGCAAGCGUUGUCCGGAAUCAUUGGGCGUAAAGCGCUCGUAGGUGGAUCGGUAAGUCUGCAAAGAAAGACCCGGGCUCAACUCGGGGAACGGUGUGGAUACUACCGAUCUUGAGGCAAUCAGAGGAUGAUGGAAUUCCCGGUGUAGCGGUGAAAUGCGUAGAUAUCAGGAGGAACACCGGCGGUGUAGACGGCUUUCUGGACCGUAGCUGACGCUGAGACACGAAAGCGUGGGUAGCAAACAGG
rnacentral:rRNA from 1 species